rnacentral:misc_RNA from 1 species
GAUGAAGAACGUAGCGAAAUGCGAUAAGUAAUGUGAAUUGCAGAAUUCAGUGAAUCAUCGAAUCUUUGAACGCACCUUGCACCCUUUGGCAUUCCGAAGGGUAUGCUCGUUUGAGUGUCAUUGUACUCUCACACUCUCCGAUCCUAUGGAUUCGGGGAGCGGUGGACUUGGGUGUUGCUGCCUUUCCCUGUGGCUCACCUCAAAUGCGUCAGUGCACCUCAUGGUUGGACAUAGUACGGCGUGAUAAGUGUCUUCGCCGGCACCUCGCAAGAGGGUGGCCGAUCGGGAGCUCUGCGCUUUCAAACCGUCUUCGGACAAUUUCUGACAUCUUGACCUCAAAUCGAGUAGGACUACCCGCUGAACUUAAGCAUAUCAAUAAGCGGAGGA